AUGAACGCUGGCGGCGUGCCUAAUACAUGCAAGUCGAGCGAACAGACGAGGAGCUUGCUCCUCUGACGUUAGCGGCGGACGGGUGAGUAACACGUGGAUAACCUACCUAUAAGACUGGGAUAACUUCGGGAAACCGGAGCUAAUACCGGAUAAUAUAUUGAACCGCAUGGUUCAAUAGUGAAAGACGGUUUUGCUGUCACUUAUAGAUGGAUCCGCGCCGCAUUAGCUAGUUGGUAAGGUAACGGCUUACCAAGGCGACGAUGCGUAGCCGACCUGAGAGGGUGAUCGGCCACACUGGAACUGAGACACGGUCCCGACUCCUACGGGAGGCAGCAGUAGGGAAUCUUCCGCAAUGGGCGAAAGCCUGACGGAGCAACGCCGCGUGAGUGAUGAAGGUCUUCGGAUCGUAAAACUCUGUUAUUAGGGAAGAACAAAUGUGUAAGUAACUAUGCACGUCUUGACGGUACCUAAUCAGAAAGCCACGGCUAACUACGUG
rnacentral:rRNA from 1 species